rfam:Triticum aestivum genome assembly, contig: Triticum_aestivum_CS42_TGACv1_scaffold_331424_4BS
UUUCUACUCCCUCCGUCCGAAAAUACUUGUCAUCAAAAUGGAUAAAAAGAGAUGUAUCUAAAACUUAAAUACGUCUAGAUACAUUUCCUUUUAUCCAUUUUGAUGACAAGUAUUUCUGGACGGGGAGAGUAUUUA